AUUGAACGCUGGCGGCAGGCUUAACACAUGCAAGUCGAGCGGGGUGAUGGUGCUUGCACUAUCACUUAGCGGCGGACGGGUGAGUAAUGCUUAGGAAUCUGCCUAUUAGUGGGGGACAACAUCUCGAAAGGGAUGCUAAUACCGCAUACGUCCUACGGGAGAAAGCAGGGGAUCACUUGUGUCCUUGCGCUAAUAGAUGAGCCUAAGUCGGAUUAGCUAGUUGGUGGGGUAAAGGCCUACCACGGCGACGAUCUGUAGCGGGUCUGAGAGGAUGAUCCGCCACACUGGGACUGAGACACGGCCCAGACUCCUACGGGAGGCAGCAGUGGGGAAUAUUGGACAAUGGGGGGAACCCUGAUCCAGCCAUGCCGCGUGUGUGAAGAAGGCCUUAUGGUUGUAAAGCACUUUAAGCGAGGAGGAGGCUCUUUUGGUUAAUACCCAAGAUGAGUGGACGUUACUCGCAGAAUAAGCACCGGCUAACUCUGUGCCAGCAGCCGCCGUAA
rnacentral:rRNA from 1 species